rnacentral:rRNA from 7 species
UUGACCUCGAAUCAGGUAGGAAUACCCGCUGAACUUAAGCAUAUCAAUAAGCGGAGGAAAAGAAACCAACAGGGAUUGCCCCAGUAACGGCGAGUGAAGCGGCAACAGCUCAAAUUUGAAAUCUGGCUCUCGGGCCCGAGUUGUAAUUUGUAGAGGAUGCUUUUGGUGAGGUGCCUUCCGAGUUCCCUGGAACGGGACGCCAUAGAGGGUGAGAGCCCCGUCUGGUUGGACACCGAUCCUCUGUAAAGCUCCUUCGACGAGUCGAGUAGUUUGGGAAUGCUGCUCUAAAUGGGAGGUAUAUGUCUUCUAAAGCUAAAUACCGGCCAGAGACCGAUAGCGCACAAGUAGAGUGAUCGAAAGAUGAAAAGAACUUUGAAAAGAGAGUUAAAAAGUACGUGAAAUUGUUGAAAGGGAAGCGCUUGUGACCAGACUUGGGCUUGGUUGAUCAUCCGGGGUUCUCCCCGGUGCACUCUUCCGGCUCAGGCCAGCAUCAGUUCGCCCUGGGGGAUAAAGGCUUCGGGAAUGUGGCUCUCUCCGGGGAGUGUUAUAGCCCGCUGCGUAAUACCCUGUGGCGGACUGAGGUUCGCGC